rnacentral:rRNA from 1 species
CCUACGGGAGGCAGCAGUGGGGAAUAUUGCACAAUGGGCGCAAGCCUGAUGCAGCAACGCCGCGUGAGGGACGACGGCCUUCGGGUUGUAAACCUCUUUUAGUAGGGAAGAAGCGAAAGUGACGGUACCUGCAGAAAAAGCACCGGCUAACUACGUGCCAGCAGCCGCGGUAAUACGUAGGGUGCAAGCGUUAUCCGGAAUUAUUGGGCGUAAAGAGCUCGUAGGCGGUUUGUCGNGUCUGCUGUGAAAACUGGAGGCUCAACCUCCAGCCUGCAGUGGGUACGGGCAAACUAGAGUGCGGUAGGGGAGAUUGGAAUUCCUGGUGUAGCGGUGGAAUGCGCAGAUAUCAGGAGGAACACCGAUGGCGAAGGCAGAUCUCUGGGCCGUAACUGACGCUGAGGAGCGAAAGCAUGGGGAGCGAACAGGAUUAGAUACCCUGGUAGUCCAUGCCGUAAACGUUGGGCGCUAGAUGUGGGGACCAUUCCACGGUUUCCGUGUCGCNGCUACGCAUAGCGCCCGCCGUCGGGAGGACGGCCGCGACGACGUAAACGUUAAACGUAAGUUAGACGGCGUGAGACGNGCCGACGACGACGACGAGGGAGAGG